rnacentral:rRNA from 1 species
AUGGCCGCCGCAGCACGAAUUUGCUACAAUCAUGUUUUGUUUUUGCUAGAACCAGUCCAUGUUUUUGCUACAACCCACCUACCCAAAAACUGCUACCACGGUGAUUUUUGCUGGAACCGGCGAGCCAUUUUGCUUCAACCAUUUUUGGUUUUUGCUACUACCGGUGUUUCUAUGGAUUUUUGCUACAUCCAUCUUCAUGAAUGUGAGUUUGCGACUCUGUUUUUUGCUUCAACCAGCCAUUGUUUUUGCUGGAACCAUCAGGCAUUUUUGCUGGAACUAGCGAUUUUUCCAUGGGUGCGAGUACGGAAGCAUUUUUCUUCGGUGGGAUCAGCAAGCCAUUUCUUUUACAAUCGGCGAGCAGUUUCUGCUUCAACCAAUAUCUUUUUUUGCUCGAGCCUGUGUUUUCCAGAUGCAAAGCAUUCUUCUUCAUUGGGAUCUGCAGAACAAUUUUUGAUUCAACCGGUGAGAAAAAAAAUGCUUCAACCAGCAUCUAGUUUUGCUGGAACCAGCAAUUCCAAGCUUGCGACAGCCAAAGCUUUUUUUAGAGCCGUGAUGGGUCACCGCUGUGAGCUGGGACAGCCAUCGCGGCGAGACGCGCUGCAAGGUCGCCGAGGCUGUUGGAACGGCGGUCCCGGGGGAAGGGGGAGGUUUGAUGCAACCCGGUAG